UACGGGGGGAGCAAGCGUUGUUCGGAUUUACUGGGCGUAAAGGGUGCGUAGGAGGGCAGGUAAGUCAGUGGUGAAAUCUUCGAGCUUAACUCGGAAACUGCCGUUGAUACUAUCUGUCUUGAAUACCGUGGAGGUGAGCGGAAUAUGUCAUGUAGCGGUGAAAUGCUUAGAUAUGACAUAGAACACCAAUUGCGAAGGCAGCUCGCUACACGAAUAUUGACUCUGAGGCACGAAAGCGUGGGGAUCAAACAGG
rnacentral:rRNA from 1 species